GCAGAACCCAAUCUUGUUAAAUAUUUUAUGUUUAGAAUGGAAGAAUUGGAGUGAAACUUUUAAAAGGAGCAGUUGGGAUUCUUAGGAACUGUACUAUCCAAGGUUGUGGAAAGGGAAUUGUUCAAUCAAGGAACUCCAAAUUAGAGAUGGAAAACACCCAGGUUUCUAGUUGUGAUGUUGAAGUGGAAAUGGACGAUUCUGCUUUAGAAGUUGACACUUCACCAUUCCAGUCCAAUCCAAUUAAGCGCCCAGAAUUCUCUGAUUGGAAAUCCUCCGCAUCAGCUUCUUCUGGAACAGACCUAGAGGAUUCCCGGUUUGAGAGUAGUCUAAACUCUCUGGAUAAGUCGGCAGGCAGCGCUUAAACAAUCUUCAGCUCAAUCUAGAUACUUUAAGAUUUCGAAUAUUUUAAAAUUUAACAACUUUUUCAUUUUUUUCUUACAUUUUUUUCCAGUACUUUUCCUUUAGAUUUUUACAUAACAAAUAAAUUAACAAUAUUCUAAAUUUACUGCAUAAUAUAAGAUGAAAAACUAAUGUUUAAAAAUUCUCUGUAAUUAUGAUAAAAAGAAUAUUUUUAAAAAUGUUGUGAUAAAUUAAUCAUUACGCUUAACUUUACCCUUACUGAUUUGCAAUUACUGUGAUUAAAGAACUAAAUGAUUUCACACAUGACUUAAAAAUAAAU